ACGGGCGGUGUGUACAAGGCCCGGGAACGUAUUCACCGCGGCAUGCUGAUCCGCGAUUACUAGCGAUUCCGACUUCAUGCAGGCGAGUUGCAGCCUGCAAUCCGAACUGAGAACGGUUUUAUGGGAUUUGCUCCAUCUCGCGACUUCGCUGCCCUUUGUACCGCCCAUUGUAGCACGUGUGUAGCCCAGGUCAUAAGGGGCAUGAUGAUUUGACGUCAUCCCCACCUUCCUCCGGUUUGUCACCGGCAGUCACCUUAGAGUGCCCAACCAAAUGCUGGCAACUAAGUUCAAGGGUUGCGCNCGUUGCGGGACUUAACCCAACAUCUCACGACACGAGCUGACGACAACCAUGCACCACCUGUCACUCUGUCCCCGAAGGGAAAUGCCUAUCUCUA
rnacentral:rRNA from 1 species